rnacentral:rRNA from 1 species
UAGGGAAUCUUCCGCAAUGGACGAAAGUCUGACGGAGCAACGCCGCGUGAGUGAAGAAGGAUUUCGGUUCGUAAAACUCUGUUGUUAGGGAAGAAAAAAUGUAUAGUAACUAUAUACAAAAGAGACGGUACCUAACCAAAGCCACGGCUAACUACGUGCCAGCAGCCGCGGUAAUACGUAGGUGGCAAGCGUUGUCCGGAAUUAUUGGGCGUAAAGCGCGCGCAGGUGGUUUAGAAAGUCUGAUGUGAAAGCCCACGGCUCAACCGUGGAGGGUCAUUGGAAACUAAUAAACUUGAGUGCAGGAGAGAAAAGUGGAAUUCCUAGUGUAGCGGUGAAAUGCGUAGAGAUUAGGAGGAACACCGGUGGCGAAAGCGGCUUUUUGGCCUGCAACUGACACUGAGGCGCGAAAGCGUGGGGAGCAAACAGG